rnacentral:rRNA from 1 species
UACGGGGGGAGCAAGCGUUGUUCGGAUUUACUGGGCGUAAAGGGCGCGUAGGCGGCCACCGCAAGUCGACUGUGAAAUCUCCGGGCUUAACCCGGAAAGGUCAGCCGAUACUGCGGGCUAGAGUGCAGAAGGGGCAACUGGAAUUCUCGGUGUAGCGGUGAAAUGCGUAGAUAAUCGAGAGGAACACCUGCGGCGAAGGCGGGUUGCUGGGCUGACACUGACGCUGAGGCGCGAAAGCUAGGGGAGCGAACGGG